CAACAAAGAACACAACCCAUACAAAUUACAACAAAAAAUCAAAAUUUUCAACCAUUAAAGGGUUCAUUCUUCUUCUCACACUUUAUGGUACAAACUUUCGCUGUUAGGAGCGACCCUCUCCGCACCUCUUUGAGUUUCUAUCAUCCAACACGAGGAUAUCGAAAUGGUUAUGGGUUUAUUUGGUUCAUCAGUAUAACUUGUUUUCCUUUUAUCUCUAUGGACCUUAAACUUGUCACUGCACCAUCAAUGAUGCAAGCUCCUUUGUUGUUGGUUCUGCAUAUCUGAGUUGUUUGAGAGAAAAAGAAAGAACACGAAAGUGUUAUGGGAGAGAGAAAAUGAUAAUGAAAAAAAAGAAAGUAUUAGGUGUAGACACACAUAUAAUAAGAUUCAUAGGGAAUCAUAAUCCAACGGCUAAUAGAAGUUUCACUAAUUUCUUUCACAAAUAAAAAGUUUCACUAGCUUGCUCACGGUAGGAGACCUGUUAAGGUCUCCCACC
rnacentral:lncRNA from 1 species